rnacentral:rRNA from 1 species
GUCCUUUUGAGUGUAUAUAAGGUCUGACCUGCCCAGUGAUUUAUUUUAACGGCCGCGGUAUAUUGACCGUGCAAAGGUAGCAUAAUCAUUAGUCUUUUAAAAGAGGGCUGGAAUGAAAGGUUUGACGAGGUAUUAACUGUCUCAUUUUAUUUGGAUUUAGAAUUUAACUUUUUAGUCAAAAGGCUUAAAUUUAAUUGGAAGACGAGAAGACCCUAUAGAGCUUUAUAUUAAUUAUUUUAGUUAUAAAUAUAUAAUUUUUAAUUAAAUGAAUUAUUAUUUUGUUGGGGUGACAAAAAAAUAGAACUAACUUUUUUAUUUAUUUAACAUUAAUUUAUGGUUAUUUGAUCCAUUAUUAUUGAUUAUUAGAUUAAGUUACCUUAGGGAUAACAGCGUAAUCCUCUCCCAGAGUUCAUAUUUACGAGUGGGGCUUGCGACCUCGAUGUUGGAUUAAGAUAAUAAUUAGGUGUAGCCGCUUAAUUUAUAGGUCUGUUCGACCUUUAAAUUCUU